rnacentral:misc_RNA from 1 species
GAGUGCUCCCACAACUCCACCACAAACUCAGAAGUCUGCCCCGACAGUACAGAGGGGUAGAAGAUCGAUGAGACUAGAGGUAGCUGGUACAUCACAAAGAGCUUCUAAGACUAUAGAACACCCCGAGGCUGAAGUAGCAUCCCGCGUGUACGCUAUGGCUCGAGAGGAGCCAAAUCUGGUAGAUGUUAUCAGAGGUACAUUUCCUAAUUAUAAUACCUUUAAGUAUG